AUGGCGCCGAAGAAGACCACGAGGAGCAAGACGGGGUUCUUCGGCGUGAGGGCGAAGCCCUCCGGGAAGUUCGGAGUCAAGUUCUCUGAUGCCGGCCGCCGCUUUUGGCUCGGCAUGUACCCUACCGUCCACGAGGCCACACGUGCCUACGACGUGGCGAUUCCGGCGAAGAAGAAGCCGGCGGUUGUCGUUGGUCCCAGUGAGAGCGACGAGGCGACGAUGGCGAGGUUUGCGCGGGAGCAUCCGGAGUACGUCCAGGCUGAGCAGGAGUACUUCUGGAAGCGUGACGCCGAGGAGAAGAAGAAGAAGGAGGUAAAGAUGGAGGACGAGGCUGCCCCCUCGACGGUGAUCCCCAUCAAGUCGUCGGAGGAGGACUGGGUCGGGAUGAGUCGGAGGAGGAGGACGAGGGGUGCGACUACCCAGACACGGACGAGUCCAGGGCACAGUUCCGCAGCUCCGACGAUGAUGAGUAGUUUCAUCUAG
rnacentral:rRNA from 1 species